CUCUGAAGUAGGCUUUGAUUGUUAAGCGGGGCGGUGGCUAACUUGUAAAUUUUUUAUUGUGUUUGCCGGCCGUAGUUUUGUAAAGUGAAUAGAGAUUUUAUGAUAGUGUACGUCAGGGUGCUAGCUCAUGCUAUGUGAUGUUUGUACAUCAAGUGUAGAAAGCCGCGGAUUUGUUGUUCCGAUCACAUAUGAUUCAGAAGAAGGCUUGUAUGCUAGGUGCAGAAAAUGUACUGAAUACACAUUGUUCCAGGAUUUUCAUAUUGUUUGGCGGCAGAACAAAAGAUGGAAACCUAAUUUAAUGAAGAAAUACCAAAAGAUUAAUUUUGGCGACUAGCUUGGGUUUACGUGAAGAUUUUAGGCGACAAGUAAUAAGUCGCACGUAAUAGCUUUGGUGUUCCUCACGUAGGCGCGAUAAUAGGAUUAUUUCGCUAUGUUGACAAUGAAGGAAGAAGUGUAAACAGUGGCUGGCUGGUAUGUUAUAAUGUUUCGUUUCGUCAGAAAUAUGUGCAAUGUGAUGUUCAUAAACCGAUUUGAAUUUUAAAUGACGGCAAAUUUCCUUCCAAAUAAUGUGCUUAACCGAAUAUUAUGGCGUACUAUUGGUCUUAUCAAAUGCAUGACGUGUUAUUGAUGUGGGGCAGUGAAAGAGUGAUAGGUAACGGCAGGUCUACACGGCGUUGCGACUUUUCUGCGACCGGGUUUCCGGGAACACGGAAGUGCCAAAGUAAUAAACAAAAUUGCCUAAGUCGGCCAACUCGUACGUCAAAGGUGUUCAGAAGGCAGAAACUCCCGGUCGAAGGAUUAUCGCAGCGCCGUGUAGAACUGCGCUAAGGAAAAAGUGUUAGCUAAUGUGCAACGGAUAAUUUCACCAUUGCAAUUAAAGUUUCCAUGCUCGAGCCGACGACCAGCGUUUCAAUGUAAAAAAGUGUGAUAACAAGGGCUAAGGAUAUUUUGUUCACCGGUAAGUAGAAGAAGGUAGGUAAGUGUCAAUCAUCAUUACAUCCGGGUAUCAUCGGAAACAAUUCAAAUUGAUGCGCAAUGCAAUCACAUUUUUAUUGUUCGGGUGCCAUAAUUAGCGCAUCAUAUUUACCAACAAAAAUUUAUCACUAAGAUGGAGAUGUAUGUAUCACUCGCGUUCAAUAAUUACAAAUUAUUCAUUUAUUUGUUUGAUUGCAUAUUUUUAUUCGGGUUAGAAAAUCAAUUAUGAAUGCUAUUGUGUUAAACUUCCGUACCUUAUCUGUAUGCUCGCAUUAUUCACGUAACUAUACCUUAGUUUGAUUUUAACGAUUUCUCCAACAAAAGAAAAACGGAUGAUCCAUAUGAACAAAAGAAAAGUGUAUGCCAUGUUUGUAGUAAAAUUUCCAGGUUUAUAGUACUUUCAAUAAUUUAAUAGAAGGAUGUUACAAUGUUUGCAAUUCGUUGUGAUGACGAAAACAUAUUGUUUGCGGACAGAUGUACUAUCGAGUACAGCUAUGCCUCUGUACUGUACAUUUUGAUGCUCGUCUAUUUUGAUUAUUUUAUUUAUUAAUAAAUUAGUACAUGUUCGCCAUAGUUGACUUAACGCGUUGCGUAUCAAGCGUUUUAGCAUAAUUUUUAGUACAAUUGUUUUAAUGAAAAUUUGUUUAUAACAUUUGUUAAACCGAUUGUUUUCGAAGGCCAAGCAAAAACUUAGCUUCCCAAAAAAUGUAUAUAAAAUAUUCAAAUAAUUUGUAUGUUGCAUUUUCAAUUAUUUAUGGGUGAAAAACUUUUUAGAACCAGAACUGCUACCACCCAUAAUUGGAUGAUGCGGUACGGAACGUGUUAACAUGCCCUUGUAUGAUAUAGUAUCAGUGCACAUUUAACAGUCUUAAGUCGAGUCGAUCAAAUCUAAACCGAAGCUGAUUCUUCAUAGUAUGCAACGGUAGUUCAAAAAGGAUAGUAUAGAAGAGUCAGUAAUGAAUUAUAAGCAUCCACAAAGUUUUUUUUUUCUAUCCGAAGAAUGGGACGCCGUCUUAAACUAAGCCGUGGAAUAUAAAUAUCGUUUGCACUACAAAAAUAGACAAAUUUUUGUUGGUGAUAAGAAAAUAGUUAACCAAGCUAAUCUAAUGAAGUAAAUUUUUAUUGUAAAGUUACAUCAUUUAAAUACUUUGAAAAAAUCUGGCUGUCAGUAUGGCGGUGGACGGGCCAUGUUACUAUUUAGAAGGUUGUUUUACCAUUCCAUGUUGACGCUUCACCACUGGUGCGGGGUUUGAGCCAGUGGUUGUGGUAUGGCUCAUUGAAGAGCAUUGACGCCGAAAGCCGAUUAGGCUCUCGUGAAGCCCUUGCGCUAGAAAGCUCCUAAUAGGCAACAUCAAUGGCGGUUGGCACCUACACGACGACAUACCGCCGUCAGAGGGUUGCGGCUGGUCUCGUCGGUUCCCACUUCCCACUUUCCCACUCAGGAUCGGCGCGAGGCUGUGUGCUGUUGCUACUGCUGAAAAUACAUUCCUGAUGCGGCCUUUGACUGAAGACUGGAAAGUAAAACAAGUAUUAUGUAGUAUGGUUCAUUUGUUAAGCACUACGCAUGUAAGGACUUUCCUUAAAGACACCUCUUCAAACGAUGAUUUAAAAUCACGAACAUUUUUCGGAUUCCACUUUUCGACCAUGCUCAUGGCACCACCAUCAUUGGUUUGCAAUA